AACGCGAAGAACCUUACCUGGGCUCGAAAUGUAGUGGACCGGGGUAGAAAUAUCCCUUCCCAGCAAUGGGCUGCUAUAUAGGUGCUGCAUGGCUGUCGUCAGCUCGUGUCGUGAGAUGUUGGGUUAAGUCCCGCAACGAGCGCAACCCUUAUUACCAGUUGCUACCAUUUAGUUGAGCACUCUGGUGAGACCGCCUCGGAUAACGGGGAGGAAGGCGGGGAUGACGUCAAGUCCUCAUGGCCUUUAUGUCCAGGGCUACACACGUGCUACAAUGGUCGGUACAAACCGUCGCAAACCCGCGAGGGGGAGCUAAUCGGAAAAAGCCGACCUCAGUUCGGAUUAGAGUCUGCAACUCGACUCUAUGAAGCUGGAAUCGCUAGUAAUCGCGGAUCAGAAUGCCGCGGUGAAUACGUUCCCGGGCCUUGUA
rnacentral:rRNA from 1 species